rnacentral:sRNA from 1 species
UUGAACAAUUUUGAACGCCAAUGGGUGGA